CCUACGGGAGGCAGCAGUAGGGAAUAUUGCUCAAUGGGGGAAACCCUGAAGCAGCAACGCCGCGUGGAGGAUGAAGGUUUUCGGAUCGUAAACUCCUUUUGUUAGAGAAGAUAAUGACGGUACCUAACGAAUAAGCACCGGCUAACUCCGUGCCAGCAGCCGCGGUAAUACGGAGGGUGCAAGCGUUACCCGGAUUCACUGGGCGUAAAGAGCGCGCAGGCGGGAUAGCAAGUCAGAUGUGAAAUCCUAGGGCUUAACCAUAGAACUGCUUUUGAAACUGUUAUUCUAGAGUAUGGGAGGGGUAGGUGGAAUUCUUGGUGUAGGGGUAAAAUCCGUAGAGAUCAAGAGGAAUACUCGUUGCGAAGGCGGCCUGCUGGAACGUGACUGACGCUGAUGCGCGAAGGCGUGGGGAGCAAACAGGAUUAGAUACCCGAGUAGUC
rnacentral:rRNA from 1 species